rnacentral:rRNA from 1 species
UACGUAGGGUGCAAGCGUUGUCCGGAAUUAUUGGGCGUAAAGAGCUCGUAGGCGGUCUGUCGCGUCGGCUGUGAAAACCCAGGGCUUAACCCUGGGCCUGCAGUGGGUACGGGCAGACUAGAGUACUGCAGGGGAGACUGGAAUUCCUGGUGUAGCGGUGGAAUGCGCAGAUAUCAGGAGGAACACCGGUGGCGAAGGCGGGUCUCUGGGCAGUAACUGACGCUGAGGAGCGAAAGCGUGGGGAGCGAACAGG